rnacentral:lncRNA from 10 species
CGUGGGAGGGAUCUUACAGAGCAGCAGUUAAAAUCAUUGCUGGCAUGUGGUCUUUCACAAUAAAAUUCUCCCCUUCCUUUUGAUUCCUCUAGGCAACAGCACAAAGUUAAACCAGGAAGUCCCUCUGCCUUGCUAGGGAUCCAGGUUUGCCUUCCUGUUGAGGUAUCCCAUUUCAUUACAGUUGACCUAAGUUUGAACAAACACUGCCACCUGAUGCAUGAAAGCUCUACUGUGACCUACGUUAAAAGGAGCUGACACUCCCUCAGGCUACCUUAGUCAGUGGGGGCUUACUGCAGCAUACCUGUGGCGAUGAGAGAGAGAGGCACAUCACAGGAGCAUCUGGCACCAGUGGCAUCCUGAGCCCAGAGGAUGUCACGGUGAACUCACACUGAUAAAGACAUAUCUGGAAGGCUGUCUUCCACUCCCUGGAUGAAGAUGAGGUUAAAGCUAUUCCAGACAUCUUAUUUCAUGAAGAAUGGUAUGACAGAGAAGGCCCUAAAGCCUGGUGCUCAGAGAAACUGGUAAUGGCCCCAAAGGAUGACUACACUGUGGCCAGUGAUGCAUGGCAGAGAUUUGACUGUUGGAGGCCAAAAGAUUGAGGGUCGUGAUUAACUUAGUAUACCACUGGAGGCUAUAUGAGUAAACAGCAAACUGUUCUCAUAAAUGCGGAAUGUUGGCAAACUGACAAACUGUGUAUGCCACCCAGAAGUAGUGCUGAGGGCAGUCACACCCCAAGUGCAACGUUUCUUGUGAUUAGGUACAUCUGAAGCCUCUUGGUAAUAAUAUGAACCUGUGAUCAAUUAAGCAGCCGACCAAUUGUUACUGCCGCCUCCUUGCUCUUGUUACCCAAUAAAUACAAAGGGCUGUAGAAGCUCCG